AGGAGUGCAUGUGUAUGUCUGUUGGUCUGCACCGCACAGGGAAGAGUGGAUGGCUUCCGAUGGAGAAUGACGAGGAGGGGUGCGCCCCCCCAACUGCCGAUGCCGCAGACUUUGAGGUCGCUGCCCGCGGGGAAAACAGCAUGCCCGCCGCCCGUGGGGGAAACCGCAUGCCCAAGAUCCCCGACGCAGCGGACGAGAUCGAGGUCCUUUGCGCAGCGAAGGGCAAUUUGGAGGAGCGCUAGCUGCAACGCAUCUCCCGCACAUGCUGACGCGCUAGGAGGCCGCGCGCAGCAGCCUGCAGCCUCACCGCCGCCGACACGUGGCGGGUAGCGAUCCAAGACGGAAGCGGUGACGGCGAGGGCGGCGCAGCCGAGUGUGGCCCGUAGGACCCGGCCAAGAAUAGGCGGAUCUCCUGGACCGUCUGGGUUAGGUCCCGCAGCGCCCCGGACACCUCCUCUGGGGGUGAGGACGGCGGGGGCGGGCGCGACGGAGGAGCCCAGCGCGGGCAGGAGCGGGACGACGAUCGUGGUGGUCGCCGGAGGCGACGAGGUGACCGGCAGCGGGAGAGACGGGUUGGGCGGCGGUGAAGACAUGAUCGAACCGAAGCUAGCUGAUACCAAAUUGUUAUGGCGCUACUAGAAGGAGGGCGGGAGAGGGCCGGCCGGGGGCCUUUUUGCCCAUGGCCGGGCAAGAGGGAAGUGAUUUCCUUCUUAAUUCUUGCUUGAUUAGAUUGAUACAUCUCCUCUCUUUAUAUAGAGAGGUUUACUUGACUCCCAAGCAAGGCUUUACUUGACCUCUAAGCAAGCGACCCUUAUCUCUAAUUAACUCUAAGACUAACGGGCUAUACCGCCAGCCCAGGCUCAUUAGGCCCAUUACGUACUCUAACAGUCAUACAGAAGUGCUUGUCAAACUUUGGUGCAGAGGAGAACAAGGUACAUAAUAGUACUCCGAAUGUCCCCUCCUUACCCCAUGCACACAUUUAUAAUUGCAGUUCAAUUUCAUUGCUUAUCUUUGGUUUCUUAUGCAGAAUCCUUCAUAUGGUAUGGAUUUCCUAUAAACAGAGUUUGUACCCAAAGAUGUGUUGAUGGUUCCCUAUCACAAAAGGUUUUCUAAUUUUCCUUUUUCCACACUAAUUGAUUUUAUUCAAUAUAUGAUAUGGUAUGGAUUUCCUAUAAACAGCGUUUGUUCCAGUGCUACCUCAUUGCAGGAAGUUGGGCUCACUUGAUUGCCAUUGUUGUACAUGUUCUUCUAAUGCUUAAGAAAUGGAACUAUAUUGUACUGAAUCAUUCGACUACCAAAUAUAUCAAUGGCCUUUUUGUCUAUAGAAGAGGUUCUGACAUACCAGAAUUUAAAUUUAAUCAUAUAGUGUAUAAUUUGUUCGGGAAUGAUUCUAUAUGUUCAAAUCUCGUUCAGUUUGGUGGUUGUUUGAUUGUUUCUGCAGUAAGCUUUAUUAGACUCCUCAAAUUCAAUUGAGCCCAUGGUUAUGAAUUCACAGUAUACUUGAUAUAGGGUAAUAGUGAAUGUCUUCUGAGCCUUUAGAUCAGACGAUCAGUACGUUCAAAAGAACAUCAACUGAGUGAAAGUUCAUUUCUUUAGAGCAUUUUUUAUAAUGCACCAUUCUGUAUUUGCCAAUUGCCUUAAUUUUUCUCUAUGCACUAGGCCCUUGGCAUUCUUAGAAGGUCGUUCCAUAAUUUCUGUGAUUCAUCCCUCUGUAUGUGGCUUGAAAUGGAGGCUUGCAUGCCCAAGGCAGGUGGUUAAAGCCCUCUUUUAUUGGUGUGGCACUGGUGAGUGCAAUGCAUGAUGCAGCAGCUGGAGACGUGGCCAACAACACUUAGGAAGCGCCCCGCCUGUGAAGCGAUACAUCUGAUGCCAACAUACCAAGAGUGCAGGUACCAACUAUCCUGCUUCAGUGAACUAUGGCUAUGAAGGAAAUUUCCUACUAGAAACAUAUGCAAUGUUUGGUUAUCUGUGUCCAUCUAACUGUCAAAAGCAUCUCUGCAAUGCAAAGUGGACUGUGUAAUACUUCUUGAAGAGGCAAUGCUUGUUAUCUGUAUGAAAGUUUCUAACUGCAUUAGCAGGAGAAAGGUUCAGUUUCUGUUA